GACGAACGCUGGCGGCGUGCUUAACACAUGCCAGUCGAACGGAAAGGCCCUGCUUUUGUGGGGUGCUCGAGUGGCGAACGGGUGAGUAACACGUGAGUAACCUGCCCUUGACUUUGGGAUAACUUCAGGAAACUGGGGCUAAUACCGGAUAGGAGCUCCUGCUGCAUGGUGGGUGUUGGAAAGUUUCGGCGGUUGGGGAUGGACUCGCGGCUUAUCAGCUUGUUGGUGGGGUAGUGGCUUACCAAGGCUUUGACGGGUAGCCGGCCUGAGAGGGUGACCGGCCACAUUGGGACUGAGAUACGGCCCAGACUCCUACGGGAGGCAGCAGUGGGGAAUAUUGCACAAUGGGCGGAAGCCUGAUGCAGCAACGCCGCGUGCGGGAUGACGGCCUUCGGGUUGUAAACCGCUUUCGCCUGUGACGAAGCGUGAGUGACGGUAAUGGGUAAAGAAGCACCGGCUAACUACGUG
rnacentral:rRNA from 1 species